ensembl:lncRNA CCDC26 CCDC26 long non-coding RNA
GGGAGAGGGAGAGAAAACAUACAAUUAUGUAUGUCUGGAGCACACCAUAUUAAAGGAGGGAGUGGCAGAAAACGUGAGGUGGGAAUCAAAUCAUGCUGGGCUUUUUGGCCAGAUCUUUAAUAAAUGAAAUAAAUGUGACUGUAUGUCCUACAUCCCAUUCCUGUUGUCUUCCAUGUCUCCUCAGAGAUUGUGCCUGCAGCCUGGCCUGUUGCCCACAGCGGUCUACCUGCCACACUGGGAAAGAUCGAGCAGAGACAGAGAAGAAAAGGAGGCUCCAUUUUUCAGGCUGCUCUCCCGCAGGCUCAUGUUUUGUGUUCAUGCCAGGCAGAGAACACAAAAUGUUCCAAUAAAUAAGUAUCAAAGGUUAGUGGUGAAAAUGAAGGAGGAGGAGGCAUUGCGUGAAAAACUAAACAUGCAAAAUAUUACACACAAAGAGAACCAAAAUGCAGGUUCACUGGAAAUGAUAGACAAUAUGUUAAAACAAGAGGAGAGAAGAGAGCUGAAAUAAUCAAAUGGAAACACACAAUUUAGGGCUAAGAUCUUGUUGUGUUCAGCCACAAAUGAUGGCCAGCAGUGAGGAAUCUGUGUGUUCUCCACACUCUUCGCUCCUGGGAAGUCAACUCACAUGGACCAUGAUAUCAAUAUCUGCUCCUUCCCCUAAUAUCUGUUUGACCUUGGGUCAGUUACUUAAACUUCCUAAGCCUUAGUUUCUUUGUCUGGAAAAUAGGGAUAGUUAUACCUACCACACAACCACUUUGUAAUGAAUAUGUUGGAAAUUAUAUGCAAAUUGGCUUCCGUUGGUGUUUGGAACAUAGUAGGUUUUUAACUGGAAUAUAAUAGCUACCAUUAUCAGUAUCAUCAUAUUAAUUUAUAUUUCCAUCUUCAGCCCUUAACCCAGGAUCUUCAGUAAAUGUUGAAUUCUCAAAUUUGUUAAAUUCACUUGUCUAUACUAAUAUUUUACUCUAGGUUUCUUAGAAUAUUCUAGAUAAUAUUAUUAUGUAGAAUAUGUUAUGUAAGCUUCAUCUUAUCUGUAAAUAUAGUUUUACUUUUUCCUUUCUAAUUUUUAUGUCGAUUACUUCUUUUUCUUGGCUUAUUGAAUUGGCUAGGAUUCCCGUACAGUGUUGAAUACGUGCAGCAAGACUGCACAUCUUGCCUUGUUCCUGGUCCCACAGAGAGAAUAUCCAGUACUUCACAAUAAGUAUGUGUUAAUUGUAGAUUUUAUUAGAUUGAGGAAGUUCCCUUUCCUUUCAAGUCAGUCUUUUUAUUUUAAACAUGUAUUGAAGUUUUGUCAAAUGUCUUCAUCUAUUGGAAUAAUUAUACAUAUCUCUUUUUUAUUCUGUUAAUAUUACAUUUCAAUCUUCUGUCUACCUAAAAUCCCUAGAAUAAUCUCCAUUUGGCUAUGAUGUGUUGUGCUUUUAUAUAUUACUGAAUUCUAUAUGCCAAUAUUAUUAAAAUUUUCUGUCUUUAUGAGAAAUAUUUGAAUGUAUAUUUUUUCAUGUAUUUGUUUUGAUUUUAUUUUCAAUGCCAUUUUGUAAAAGAGCAUUAAAGUGUUAGUAUGAAAGUA